rnacentral:lncRNA from 1 species
CAUAUUAUUACAACUAUAAGCAAUGGCUGCUGCUGCCUCAACCAUGGCUAGCCAACUCAAGAGCAGUUUCACUUCAUCAUUAACUAGAGGACUUGUGAGUCCCAAAGGCAUCUCUGGAGCUCCACUCAGAGUCUUGCCUUCCAGGAGAAACACUGGUUUCACCAUCAAAGCUGUUCAAGCUGACAAGGUUAGAACAAACUGAUUUUAGUAUUAGUUCAUUCUUAAAUGAUGUGUGUUUCAGUAUGAUGUUUUGAUUCUGAUAUGCUCUUAUACAAGCUUGAGCCGUAUAAAUAAUUUGUUACACUAUGCAAAUUUUAUUUAUUGUCAAGUAAUUUAAGUUUGAGUUGAUUCUGCUUAUGUGGAAGAACAAUUAGGAGAAGAAUUUGUAUGUAGAAGGAUAUGCUAUGAAGCUGAGAACUUGUUCAUUAGUGAUUAAGUGAUUAAAUGGUCUGAUUUUGUGCAGCCAACAUAUCAAGUCAUCCAGCCUAUCAAUGGUGACCCAUUCAUUGGUAGCUUAGAGACUCCAGUGACAUCGAGCCCAUUGAUCGCAUGGUACCUUUCCAACCUUCCAGCCUACAGGACAGCUGUGAACCCACUUCUCCGAGGAGUGGAGGUUGGUCUUGCCCACGGCCUCCUUCUGGUUGGUCCAUUUGUAAAGGCAGGGCCAUUGAGGAACACAGAAUUUGCAGGUGCAGCUGG